rnacentral:lncRNA from 1 species
AUUACAAUCAAUUUACAACCAAAAAUAAAGCCAAAAAUAAAUUACAAUAAAAAUCAAAUCAGAUCAAGCCAUGCUGACUUUGUUCACUGCCAAACCCUGUCAUGUUGAUGAUGACUGCCAUUGAUGCACAAUCCAUGCUUAUUGGUACAUCUGUUCCUGUUUUAACUAAUUUGAUUUUAAUAAGAAAAUACAAUUCAAAAUAACUAACUAUUUUUUCAUCCCAAUUUUAAUAGAGUUAGUUUACUCACUACAAAUUUCGAGGAUGAAAUUCUUUAACAAGGGGAGAAUUGUAACACCCUAAAUUUUAUAAUAAACUAUUUAAUUAGUUAAGUACGAUUUUAAAUAAUUAAUUUAAUGUUAAAAUUAUUUUAGAAUAUAUAAUGAUAAAUUUUCUGACUAAUUUUUGUUAUAUAGGUAAUUUCUAUGAUGUGCUAGUUUUAUAAAUACUAGAUUACAUGAGCGAUAUAAAUAAUAAAUAUUAUAUUUUAUUACGUGAUAUAAUUUUUAAAAAAUAAUAGUAUUUUAGUGUAAUAUAUAUUUUAAAGAAACAGAUUUUAUGUGAUUUUACGUGUAUAUAGGUGUACCCAAUUAAUGUAAUACUUUUAUGUGCGCUUAACUGAUGUUAAGUAUGCACGAAGUUAUAUUUCUAUUAUUUAUAACUAUUUUCAAUUUUUAGUUAAUUUUUUAUAAAUAAUUAUCUUGAGAUAGAAUUGAUGAUAUCGUGUUUGAUUUCGUUUAUUUUUAUAUACUUGUUAUGACAUUGUGAUUUUAUAUAUAUUUAUUAUGAUUUAGUAAUUAAUAUAAAAUAUUGAUGUUAUAUUCAUUUAUUUUAUAAUUUUUAAUAUUUUCUAAUAUGAUGGUAUUAUUAUAAUGUGAGUAUUUUGAGAAAUAAGUAUAAUUGUGUAGUACCCUAAUUUUGUCCAACUUAUUUAAAAAUAAACUAAAAAAGGAAAUAUAUAUUAAAAAAGGAAGUAAUUAUAUUUACAAUAAGUAGGUUCAUCAAUUUACAAUGUUAAAUCAAGUUAUAAUUUUUAAAUUACAAUUACAAUCAAUUUACAACCAAAAAUAAAGCCAAAAAUAAAUUACAAUAAAAAUCAAAUCAGAUCAAGCCAUGCCAGAAAGCAACUAAUCAGAUAAAAGGAAGUAAUUAUAUANNNNNNNNNNNNNNNNNNNNNNNNNNNNNNNNNNNNNNNNNNNNNNNNNNNNNNNNNNNNNNNNNNNNNNNNNNNNNNNNNNNNNNNNNNNNNNNNNNNNNNNNNNNNNNNNNNNNNNNNNNNNNNNNNNNNNNNNNNNNNNNNNNNNNNNNNNNNNNNNNNNNNNNNCAACAGAACAGAUCAAAACAAAUAAAUCAAAAUCAUGAAUGCAUCAGAGGUGUAGAAAAAACGCAGAUGAUGAGCAAAGGAAAAAAAAAAUCAAACAGGAAAUAGAUAGAGAAGGACCAAUGCAGACCAGAAAGCAACUAAACAUAUAAAAGACUCUAUAAAUACAUCUUGAAAAAUUUCAAAGAAAAAAAAUCGAACAGGAGACAGAAAAAUAACUAAAACAAAGAAGGAGAAAGAAAGAAAUUAGAGAGGACAGUAACAAACGGAAAACAACACACAACAAACGCAAAGGUACUUUUUUUAGAUAAUAAAUAUGUUUCUUCAUCUUCCACUGUACAAUAAUUUUUUUUUUAGUUCAAAAAGGGUUAGAUUUUUUUUCAUUUUGCAAAAUCAAACAUAAUGGGAAAAAUAUAGAAGAUAUAAAAUUAAAGAUUCGAACCUGUGACAUGUUGCCGUUGUCAAAACCAUCGACGUUGUGGUCGUUGUGGCCGCCAUCCCCGUUGGCGCGGUGGCCGCCGUUUGCACCAAGGUCAUCGUCGGCGUUGUGGCUGUCGUUACAGCUUUCUUGUUCCUCUUCUUUUAGUUGAUGCAUACAUUCAUAUUUCCUCCUUCUUUCAAAAUAGAGAUUGGAAUAAGGAAAGAGAAAGAUUUUGCUUUGCUGUGAAAGACCCAUGCGGCUGUCCCUCCUUCUAACUAGGGUUUCAUUUUGUUUGUUUUGGACCUCUUUUUUAAGUUAGUUUGGGCCUGGGUUAUGGGUUAAUAACCAAAAUAUAUUCAAACUCAACCCAUUUUUAUUUUACUAAUCUCAACCCAUUUUUAUUUUACUAAUCUCAAUUCAUUUUUAUUUUACUAAUAUCAAUCCAUUUAAAUUUUACUAAUCUCAACUCAUUUUUAUUUUACUAAUAUCAAUCCAUUUAAAUUUUACUAAUCUCAACUCAUUUUUAUUUUACUAAUAUCAAUCCAUUUAAAUUUUACUAAUCUCAACUCAUUUUUAUUUUACUAAUCUCAACCCAUUUAAAUCUUACUAAUCUUAGUCCAUUUAAAUCUAUUCAUUUUACUUUUUUUUAUUAUUUAAAAAAAAAGGUUUAAUUUUCUUCAUAUUUAAAUAUCAAUUUCAUCAUAAAAAAAAUNNNNNNNNNNNNNNNNNNNNNNNNNNNNNNNNNNNNNNNNNNNNNNNNNNNNNNNNNNNNNNNNNNNNNNNNNNNNNNNNNNNNNNNNNNNNNNNNNNNNNNNNNNNNNNNNNNNNNNNNNNNNNNNNNNNNNNNNNNNNNNNNNNNNNNNNNNNNNNNNNNNNNNNNNNNNNNNNNNNNNNNNNNNNNNNNNNNNNNNNNNNNNNNNNNNNNNNNNNNNNNNNNNNNNNNNNNNNNNNNNNNNNNNNNNNNNNNNNNNNNNNNNNNNNNNNNNNNNNNNNNNNNNNNNNNNNNNNNNNNNNNNNNNNNNNNNNNNNNNNNNNNNNUUUUUUAUCUUUGAGUUGUUAAAACACAAGUUGUACUACUUGGUGGUUUUGAAACUCAAUUUAAAAAUCGAGAACAAUAAAAUAUUUUUAGAGGAUUAAAUUAGAUGUGAUAUCUUCUUUAUUCCUUGAGUUUUGGGACACAAGUUGUACAACCUGAUUCGUCUUAAAACUCGUAUUUUAAAGUAUUUAUUUCAAAUCAAACUCUUUUAUUUUUCUAUUUUGUCAAAAUAUUUUCUUAUCACAAAAUAAAUUUUCUUUAAAACACACUCAACACAUCCGUUUGUUUUUUAACCAAGAACUACGUAGCUUUGAUUUCUCCAUUGCACCGGGAGAUACGUAGGAGCAAGAUCACAUUCUUGUCGAGCACAUAAAUAAAAAUUUCUUUUUUUGUCCUUUAUUUGUUAAGUACAUAUUUAUUUCAAAAUCAUAUUUUAAAUAUAGUAAUAAUUGUUAUUCAUAUUUAAUAAUAAAGAAAAAUAAAUAUACUUAAGUUAAUAUUAAUUUUGCACAAUUAAUUAUAGAUAACCGUAUUUUAACGGAUGUCGUAGGGUGCUAGUACCUUCCCUACGCAUAAUCGACUCCCGAACUCAAAAUUUGGUUUCAAAGACCACUGUUUUUAUUUUUACUAUUUUAAGGGUUUCCCAAUAUUUUCCCUAUUUUAAAAUAAAUUUUGGUGGCGACUCCAUUGAAUUCAAGAAACACUCGAAAUUUUAGGCCGCGACAAUUUCUAUCAAUUUGUUCUUGAUAUGUGGGAGAUUCUCGAAUAAAAGUGGUGCCACCUAGUACAUCGUUAGGGAAAUCAUCAACAAAAUGAGAAUUAAUAACACGAUGAAUAUUAUUACUUGAACAUUUUUGUUUGUAUCUUUAAUUUUGACAAUGUUUGAAUCAAUGUUUUUAAGGACCUGCUUCUUAACCAACUUCUUCUUUACUAUUGGAAAGUCUUUAUCAAAUAGAGUUUUUACCAACUUCUUUACUGCAUCUUCAACAGAUUGAGUUAUUCCAUUAUCAUUAGAAUAUUUUCGGCAAUUAUCUAUAAAAUGCCCUACAACUUUACAUGAUUCACCAAACAAUGACAGUUUUUUCAUAAUUAAUGUAUACAAAAAAUGCAUACGCUUCACGUUCAACAAUAAUGUGAUCUCCCAACUCUUGUGUCGUGUCUAAAUCGACUAAAGUCGGGCAAAAUGUCUCAACAUUUUUUAAUUUGGUUGCUUCAACAAUAGAUAAAGGAAUGCCAACACUUGGAGUGAUUGUGAAAAUAAUUUUUGACCUCCAAUACUCCUGAGGAAGAUACACUUUGCAAAUCAUUUGAACAAAUAAAGGAAAACUCAUAAAAUCAUUUCCCAAGAGGAAAAACCUGCCAUGAGUCAAUCAGUUUCUAUAUUUUUAAAAGUUUUUCACGUAAAACGAAUAACGCAAUUGGUGUAUCACCUUUAGAUACGGUAACUCUAUCAUGAAGGUUAUUUUUGCAACUCGCCAAACCUAGUUGGUAUUCAUCUUCUAGAAUUUUGAUAGCAAGAAAAGACCAUUUGAUAGUCAGAAAUGCAAAUCAGAAACCAUGAUUAAAUAAAAAAUCCAUAUUCGAAUAUGAACUCGAGAGCAAUGCAAAAGUGGGAAGUUCAAUGUGAGAACAACGUGAAAUCGAGAGCAACAAUAUUAUGUGCGACUUGUGAACUUGAGAGCAACAAGAUAAACAAUGUGACAUCGACACCAUUGGGAGUGUCGGAAUUAGGUGUCAAACACUAAAGAGGAAAAAUCUCAAGAGAAUUCUAUAUUUAGUGACAAAUGUAGUACUUUGUUAAACAAUGAGUGAUUUAUUUGAUAAUUUCACAAAUUAAUAAAGAUGUGUAUAAAUAAAAGAGAGAAAAUUGUAUUUUUAAUAAAUUACUUUGAAUAAAUACAGAUGUAUUCACCAUUACUUUUAAUGCAAAGUGAAAGAUAAUAAAUUGAGAACGAUGUGUGUAGUAUUAAUUAGAUAAUACAACCAAUUCAUCAUAAAUUAAUUAGAAGAAAAAAAAAAUAUUGUUAUCUUGAAAGUUGAAACGGUAAUUUAUUUUUAGUUGAUUUUUUUUUUUUAACAAAUAACUCAUUCACUGUGGGACGAAUAUAGUAUAUAAGUAAUAUAAUUUUUGUUUUUGUUUGUGUCUAGUGCAAAAUAUUAUUUCAUGAUGUACUUUAAGUAAUAUAGGUUUCAAAAUAUAUGUUCCUUACUUCAUAUCUUAUUUUGUUUUUUUUUUAAGGCCAAAGUUAGAAAUAUCAGAAUUUUUUUUCACCAGAGAGUUUAAAUUCAAAUACUCAAAUUCUUUUAACUCUUAGCUCAAACACCCUUAUCUUGCUUUAUCUUAUGAUCAUCUCAAGAAUUAAAUUUGCAAAAUAUUUUGUGAUAAUUCAAUCUUUAUUGUUUAGCAAUGAAAUGUACCCUAAUAGAUAUUUAGAAUUUUCGUACCUCUUAAUUUUCUACUUACUUAUUUUUCUUUUUGUACCUCUUAAUUAUUCGAUGGAUAAUACACGCAGCACAUUUGGAUAAUAUUUUGCAUGAGCCACAAAUUAUGUUCUUUUUUAAAAUUCUUAAAAAUUUCAAUUACAAGGUUCUGAUAACUAUAUGUAGCAUAUGUUACCCCAAUAGAAAGAAACAUUAAGAAAAGGAUUGUGAGAGCAUUCAUUCCUAAUGUCGGCCACCUUUUUGGAUAAAGUUGGGGGAAAUACAUAAAUUGCCGUACAUAAGUGAGAUUAGUCAAUAUCCAUAUAUAGCAAACUCUACAUAUUAUUUGCUUCAUAGGUACCAAAAGUGGUUGUAGUCUAACAUAAAUGAGUGGAUGUGUAUUAUUAAACUUUUUGAGUUACUUGUAUUCCAUAUUCUUGCAACCAGCUUAUGUAAAUUUAUAAGGUGGUCCACAUUACUUGCUUUUAUUUAGUACUGUACGUAGAAUUCAAGUAGAUAGUAGGUAGAAUUAAACGUAUUCAAAAAGACGAGUUAUAUUAAGCUGUGCGUGUUUUGUUAGGUCAUGAGGAGAAUUUAUGAGAUUAUCUAUAUUAUGUGAAGAGCGAUUACACAAAUUAGUGAACUACCACAUCUAAACUAUACAAUAAUUUAUGGGUCCUCUUACUAUCCUUCACUUUUCUAAGUGAUGUAAAAUUUCUAAUUCACAAUAUCUAUGUAAUAAUUUUCCCCUUAAGUGUAAGUUUAUUUCAUUAAUCUAACUAUAUUUUCCUUGAAGCAUAAAUUUUUUCAUUCACAUACAUUUGCAGAGUCGUUGUUGCUACAUCAAUAUGACACAUCGCUUGAAUACUCUUGAUUAAGAAGUCUUUUGAUACAAAGAGUCAGUUCCUUUAGUAACCAUUGACUAUGAUACUACAGUUGGAUCAUGAGGGGUUCCAGAUGACUAUCCACAUUAGACCAAGAGCUACUAUACAAGUGAAUUGAACACUAUAUCUCAACUCGAAACCUUAAGAUAUUGAGUCACCAUAAUAAUAAUAUAUAAACAUUUUUUUGGAAAAAAAAAAGUUAAUUAACAAGUAAAGUUAAUUGAUUACAAAAUUAUUUUAGUUGAAUAAUAACAAUAAAGAGUUAAUCAAUCACCAAAUAAUAAUACGUACAUAUUUUGUUGUGAAAAAAUAAAUUUAGUUGAGUAAUAAAGUAACGAUAUUGAAUUGAAAUAUUAUAUCAUUUAAAUCAUUUACAUAAAAUUUUACAAAAAUUUAAAAUCAUUUGAUAUAUUAUUAAGAUACAUUAAAAUUAUCGUUUUAUGAGUUUUUGUUUAAAUUCAUUAAUUUUUAUGAGUCUCGAUCAUCAAUCAAAUAAUUUUAGAUUUGUGUAAAAUUUUACACGAAUAAUUUAUAUGAUAUAAAUUUUUAAUCAAACAAUAAAUUUUGUAAAAAAAUUAACAGGUAAAAUAUUAUUGAGCAACAUAAAACAAAUUUUUCUUCACUCAAUUUUAUGCUCAGACAUUAUCUCUCCCACUAACUAAAUAUUUUCUAAAUUGGAUGCAAUAAUAUUUAAAAGAAACUAAAUCUAUUGUUUUUAAAUAAAAAUCAUAAUGUUUUAAUUUGUUCAAAAAAGAAACUAAAACAAAACAUUAACUAAAUAUAUUGAUCCAACAAUUGUCUUUAAAUUUUAAAUGUAAAUAAAUAACCACCAUCAAAUAAUUAAAAAAAUUUCUGACUAUGCCAACUUUUAUGAAUACAUAUUUUUAGUAUUAUUUGACAUUUGUCCGUACAAUCCUCUUUUAAGUCUUUAUUCGGAACAAAAGAAAGAAAUUGAAAAUAAAAAACAAGAAAUAAAACACAUAAUAACUCAAUUUUUUCAUUGUUUUAGUUCUCAAUUAGGGUAGAAAGGAAAGAAAAAAAUUGAUGUAGGACACACCAAAAUUUUAGUCUUUUUGUAAAUGUGGAAGAAAAAGUUGCAUGAAAACUAAAUAAGGUCUCUUUGUUUUCAAUUUUUCCUUUCUCUUGUACUUUUUUAAAGGUUAUUUGAGUCAUUGUGUAAUUUUUUCCUUUCACUUUCUACACAACCAAGCAAGAGAAGAGAAUAUCUCAGGCUUUCUUUCCUUUUAUUUUCUCUUGAAACAAACAACCAAAAAUAUAAUAUACUUUUCCUCUCUUCUUUUAUUCUACUUUUCUUUUUCUUAUUUUUCUUUCCUCACACUUUCUUUUUUAAAAAAGAACUGUUCCUACAAUCAGAUUGAUAAUCCAUUAUUCAGAAUGAAUAAACUUUGUAGAUUUACAAUAUAAUAGUUUGAACUUGUAUUUUAAACAUAUUCAAGAUACAAAGUUUAAAUCUUAUUGGAGAUGGUUAUAAAAUAAUUAUUAAUAUUACUUUAAUUAAUAAUAAUUUUUCAUCUGUCAUUUAAAAAUUAAUCCAAUAAUACAUCUUUUUAUGGAAAAUCAUAUUAAACAUUAACUUUAGUAACUAUAUCUAAUUUAAUAAUUAAUAUUUUUUAUUGAACUCAUAAUUAACAUUAUUUUUUGUUAUAAAAGAAUUAAACGGAUUGUUGAUUUUUAAAUUCAUUACUUCGUCCCCAAUGGAGAUCGUUAACCCAAUAAACACGAGUACUAAAUAGGAACAUUCAUUGAAGACAAAUAUAAGAUAUUAGAGAUAGUGUCUUUAAUAAGACGUCUCUCUCUCCCCUCUCUCUUUCAUAGAAGGAUCCACAUAUUUUUUAUAUAUUAAAACAAAGAUUUAAUUACAAUUUUAAUUUACUUCUUCUAUUUUUAUUAAUUCUUAGAAUUAGUUUAUAAUUUUAAAAUCUAAAAAUUUUAACUAUCAAUUUAUAUUUUCUUUUUUUGGUUAAAAAUAUUAUAAUUUAAUAUACUUUAAAUAAAGUGACAUACGAUACGUUAUGUAAAAUCAUCUGAAAGUAAUAAUUAUUUAUAUUAUUAAUUAAAUUACAAAAAUAAAUCAUUUUUGAAGUUGAAAUUAAAAUUUUUAGAUUGUCUUAUUAUAAUUUUAUGGUUUAACGUCACUGUAUUAUAUGUUACGUUAUUUAAAAUAUGACACAUCAUAAUUUUUUAGUUGAAAAAUUCAAACGAGGAACUACAUUUGUUGAGUUUUAAAAUUGAGGAAUCAAUUCUAAGAAUUGGUGAAAAUAAAAAAAAAUCAAAAUCGCAAUUAAGUCUAAAAUAAAUUAAUGUUGUUAAAAUGCAAUGAUAUAAAAUUAUUAAUGUGAUCCAUUUGAUUUUUUUAAUUGCUAAAUUAUAGAGAAUAACUAUUAAGUAAGUGCUAAUAUUAAAAAUUUAUAAAAUAGUCCAUAAAUCUUAGAUCAACUAACAAAUAUCGAUAUUAUUAAGUUGAACAUCAUGUUCUUGAUUCGAACUCAGAGUCUCGCAGUUGUGUGAGUUUUUUUUAGUAAUUUUACCAUCAGAGAUAUUCAUAUUCGAGACAUGUCGAAAACAAAAUAUUCGUACUUCCUAAUGUAAAACUAUUUUACACCAAUAUCAAAUAACUACUUAUUACUUUGCCAUGUUACUCCACAUUUUUAUAGUUAUUUUGGAACUUAUCAUGUGACAUGGAGAUAUAGUGACCUUUAAUAAAUGUCAAUGUAAAAUUAUUUACAUUGACAGUUUGAAAAUUGGAUUUCAUACCCCCACACUUUGACCCCUACCCCCACAAUUUUAAAAAAAAUCAAAUUUAUCAUUAUCAUUUUCAUCUCUUUUCAUUGAAAUUUUUUGGAUCCUUUUUACCCCACAUAAAUAUAAAAUUUCCGUUAUAUAAUUUUAUUUUACAAAAUCCAAUUUAAAAAAAUCAGCGUAUGACAUAUUUGAAAUUUUUUAUAUGUAAAAAAAAUAUUACAUACUAGAAAUUCUAUUUUCGAAAUUUGCAUGCCAAAAAUUUCGAAAACAAAUUUUAUUGUAAAACAAAAUUUUGCAUACGAAAAAUUUCGGAUAUGUAAACAAGAUUGAGAAAAAAAUUCUCAUACAGGAAAUUUAAAAAACUAAAAAUUUGUGAUAUAAAAAAAAUUUAACAUAUUAGAAAUUUCACUCAAAAUUUUUGGUAUGUAAAAUAAUGGAAGAAAAAUUUGACAUACUGAAAAUUGAAAAAAAUAAUAUUAUUAGUCUAUAAAAAAAUAUAUAUAAAAAAACAAAUAUAAAUGUGGAUAGAAAAAAUAGAGUAAUUUUGUUUAUUUUUAUUUUUUAUAAAAUAUUUUUUAAAAUAUAUAUAUAUAUAAAAGGAUAGAAGUUAAAAUGUGAAGUAUAUAAUGAAAUUCUCUGACAAUGUACGGUGAUUGCACUCGUAAUCUAUACCCAUUAAACUCGCUUAAUUACUCAAAUGAAAUGUGUUUACUAGAAGGGUUUUAUCUGCAUAAUCCUAAAUCCAUAAUGAACGGACAUUUUUCGGUCUUGUCUAAAUCACAGUGAUUUUCGUAAUUUAAGAUAAAUAAAGGAAUUAAUUCCGAAACAGUACUUUAAAGAAAUCAGGUCGGGGAAUAAAGCGGGGAAAACAGUAUCAAUAUUUGUUGGAACUCUAAAUGUACUCAUAUUUAAAUUUUGAUGUGUGAUAUAGUUGGUGUAUUAAAAUUAAACCCAAUUUAGAAUUUAGAAUAUCGCAAACAUAAACUUUGAUUCUAUCCCAAAAAACAAUUAAGAAAGGAGGGUAAUGUAACACGUGUUAGCAAAGGAGAGGUAGAAAUUAAAAUUAAGCAUGAGAAUAUACAUAAAUUCUGUUUGGCUGGAUAUCAAUAAGGAUGGGUAUUGGAGAGUGGUGGUUCGUUUUGUACAGCAAAUAUAUGACCAAAAAAGUAUAAUCUUAUUGCAACCGCUGCUCUCGCCAUCGACAAGGUUUCGAAGGUUCCAAUUUGGGACGGCUAAAAUUAAAUUUGACAUUAGGACUAUUAUAAUUUUUAUUUUAUUAAUUGUUUUUGGUUUGAGUUUAAUUUUUGCUCGAUGUAAAAACUUGUCCAUAAUAAUUCACCAUUUAUAUGAUUUUAGAUAUAGUUAUAUUAUAAUAAAAAGUUAUGUAUGGUUGUAUAUAUUAAUAAUAUAUAUAAAUUUAAUCUAUUUAAUUUUUUAAAAAUUAUUGAAAGUUAAAAUAUUUAUUUAAUUUGUAAAACAUUCUUAAGAAAUCAAUUUAGUAUGACGCGAUUGAUAAAUAGAUGAGUCUCUUAAAUAGUAGUUAUAGAUUUAAUCAUUUGUAGCUAUUUAUGGAAUAAUAUUUAUUGUUUAUGGAAUAAUAUUUACAAGAAAAAAUAAUUUAAAUCUACUUUUUAUUUUUUUAAAAAUAAAAGUUUCUAUAUUUUUUUGAAUUAAUUUAAUAAACUGAUUUGUUUUAAAUAUAUAGUUCAAUUCAUAAAUCAUUUAAAUAAUUUAAUUUUUUAAUACAGUAUAAUCUAAUUUAUCAAUAUAGUUUAAUUAACCAUCAUUUAAAACUUAAAAAAAAUGUGCACGAGAAUAAAAUAAUUUUUUUGCUCAUUAUUGAAACAUGCAAGACAUCUUAGUAAACCAUCUUUGAAUAUACAACUAGUAACUAAGUAAUUAUUAAUUAUAGUUAAAACUUGCAAGACAUCCUAGUAAUCAAACUCUCCAAUGGAUGCUCCAUAUUGAUUGGAGUGAAAUACAAUGUCUUAAUCAAUUUGUCUAUGAUCACCCUAAUUGCAUCCAUCCUGCAAGAUUUUUCAUGAGUCUCAACAUAAAAUCCAUCGGAAUAUUCUAUUCACUUCAAACAAGUAUAUUCAAUUGUUUCAAAUAUUUUGACGUUUGUCUGGUACUCAACCUUCAACUUUUAACAAAUUAAACAAGCAUACAAAAACUGUAUCACAUUAUUCUCUAUUCAUGUCCACCAAAACACCAUCUUUUAGUAUUUGAGGUUGCAUAUCUUUAAUAAAAUUAAAGAAGAGGUUGUUCCGUUGAGUAGACUUAGAUAUUUGAACUCUUCUAUUAGUUGCAUAUCUUUAAUUGUUAUGAUUGAAUAAUGAAAUGCAUUUUUCUCAAACAUUUGCCAUUAUAUUCUCCUUUCCAUGAAGACAUUACUCUAUACUUAUAGUGACCGUAACACACCACAAAAGUUGUCUUCUAAAUAUUGAUAUGAUUAUAUAUUGACUUGAAAUUGCCCUUUUGAUUGGUAGUUAAUUAGUUGCUCUACAUACACAAAGCUCAUUGUAAUAUGAAUCCAUUUGAGUCUAAUUUUCUCUCAAAGUUUCCCUCUCUCUAGAGAUCUCGGUUUACUAACAGACAACUUUAAAAUUUUGGUUGAAAUUAAGAAAAUUAAAUUAGUGUCCUAUUAUUUGAAAUUGUAAAGGAAGAUGGAGAUUAAAGUUAUAUAUAUAACUCUAAUUUUUCAUUAUAAUUAGUAUAUGUCAUUUACACUUUGUUUGUUUAUGAUUUUUUUUAAAUUUUAUUUUACAAUUUUCUAUUAGAGUUUUGUGAUAUAUAACCUAAAUAUCUGCUUAUGAGAGUGUCAGAGUCUUCUACCGGAGACCAGAAGAGUAUGCAAAAAAUUAAUAUGUUGUAAUAAUUUUCACAUCGUAUUAUUCUAUGAUUAUUAUUUGACAAUAAUUGCGAUUUUUUCUCUAAUCUUAAAAUUUUAAAUUAUAAUUCAGGAUUUUAAUUGCUAUUUAAAUUUAUCUCUUUGUAUAUUUUCUUAACAACAGCAUACAAAGAAAAUGCGAAAGAUUCUAAUACGACCAAACGACAAGUUAUGAUAUUAUUAAAGGAGCAAAUUGUAAAGGAGAAAGAAAUAGUAUUUCUUAACCAUAUUAUAUAAUCCAUUAAAAUGGACAUAUAUGUAAUGGAAUACUCGAAAAAUAUUCUAGCAUAUAAUAAAAUUGGUUGUCUUUGUUUGUGUACCACCAUAAUGUAUGAUCCAAUCAAUGAGAUAAUGGAAGAAGAUCUUGGUGUGAUGGGAAUAAUGUUGCGUUAAAGAGCCCUUUAUCACAGAAAGCAACACUUGUUGGCACCGAAUAUCUCCCUUUCCUUUUACCCCUACGCUUUUUUCCUAUCUUAAUCACUCACACAUACCUUUUCCUUCUCUCUCUCUCUCUCUCUCUCUCUCUCUCUCUCUCUCUCUCUCUCUCUCUCUCUUUUUUAUCAAAUUUAAUUAGCUUCUCAUAAAGAAAUCGGAAUGUCAGGAUGACGUAUAUAUGUUUAAUUAAUCUCUUUCGGUUUCAAAGAUAAAUACGAAUUUUUUAAGAAACCUUCAUUAAUUAUUCUUAUUUUAUAUUUCUCAUUUUUUAUUGAGUUAAAAAUCAAAAUAACAUAAUCUUAUACUUUCAAUGACUUAAAAAUAAUUACUCUUAAUUAAUUUUAUUAUUUUGUAAAAUGACCCAUUCUAUUUCAAAUUAAUGGUCGAUAUCGUUUAACCGCAAACAAUUUUGGUGCUGCCUCAACCAUUACAUAUGGUACAAUAAAUAAUUUUUUUUUGGAGUAAAUCCUAAUUAACAGUUUAGAGAAUGAAAUUAAACAUGUAUGAAAAGAUUAAUUAAAGGAAUUCAAGUUCAUCCGAAAUACUAAAUACGCCUUUAAACCUACUGUGAAUGUCCCAACAUAUUAUAACCCAUCAUACUAAUCUUACAUUUGAUUAUUUCGCUUUGUUUGAAAAUGUAGUACCCUAAUUUUGUCCAAUUUAUUAAAAAUAAAUCAAAAAAAGAAAAUAUGUAUUUUAAAAAGGAAUUAAAAAUAAUUACAAUAAAUAAUUUUAUUAUGUAUCAUAAAUUUACAUUUUUAUCUAAUUAGAGUUUUAAAACCAAAUCAAAUUACAAACUAAGAAUAAAGCCAAAAAUAAAUUACAAUAAAAAUCAAAUCAGAUCAAGCCAUGCUAUGUUGACUUUGUUCACUGCCAAACCCUGCNNNNNNNNNNNNNNNNNNNNNNNNNNNNNNNNNNNNNNNNNNNNNNNNNNNNNNNNNNNNNNNNNNNNNNNNNNNNNNNNNNNNNNNNNNNNNNNNNNNNNNNNNNNNNNNNNNNNNNNNNNNNNNNNNNNNNNNNNNNNNNNNNNNNNNNNNNNNNNNNNNUUAAAGCUCAGCAACAGAACAGAUCAAAACAAAUAAAUCAAAAUCAUGAAUGCAUCAGAGGUGUAGAAAAAAACGCAGAUGAUGAGCAAAGGAAAAAAAACAUCAAACAGGAAAUAGAUAGAGAAGGACCAAUGCAGAUCAGAAAGCAACUAAACAGAUAAAAAACUCUAUAAAUACACCUUAUCAAAAUUAUUAGGGGGGAUCUGAGAAAAACACACUAUUGAUAUUAAAAAAUCACAUCUAAAGAAGAGAGUUUUAGUUUUUUUUCGAAAAAAAUAAGUAAGAAAAAGAGAAAUUUUUUAGAAUAUGAGAGAUUCUGAAAUAGAAAGCAAGAGACAGAGAAUAUUACCGUCACUCUAGCUUCCACCGGUAACCGCCGUCAACCGCCAUCAACCGUUACACCCGCCAUCUUCUUCUUCACCACUAUAUACAAAUCUGUGUCUCUCAAGUUAGUCUUUGUUCUUCAUCUCUUUUAAUAUAGUGUUUCAUUUGUUUUGUAGUUUAUUUGGUGAAGCUUUAGUUUCAUUGCUCCAUNN